rnacentral:rRNA from 1 species
CAGUAGCCGCGGUAAUACCAGCACCUCGAGUGGUCGGGAGGUUUAUUGGGCCUAAAGCAUCCGUAGCCGGUUGCAUAAGUUUUCGGUUAAAUCUAUGCGCUUAACGUAUAGGCCGCCGAAAAUACUGUGCAGCUAGGGAGUGGGAGAGGUACACGGUACUCGAUAGGAAGGGGUAAAAUCCUUUGAUCUAUUGAUGACCACCUGUGGCGAAGGCGGUGUACCAGAACACGUUCGACGGUGAGGGAUGAAAGCUGGGGGAGCAAACCGGAUUAGAUACCCCCGUAGUCCCUGUCUCUUAUAC